GGAGCGUCCGCGGCCCGCGCAGAGCCGCGCACCAAGCCGAUGGCGGUGGACGCAGCAGGGCCCCGCGGUCUGAGUGCGGGCAGGCGCGCGUGGGCGUGUCUCCCUGGCCCACGCGUGUCCCCGGCAUCAGUGUCUCGGCUCUGGUCCAGGACGAAGACUUCUGAAAGCGAGCCAAGGAGAAUCACAGUUCUUAACGGAGCCCCUGACUGCCCGGUGGAAGGAGGUGAUUUAGAAGACAGUGAGACUCAGCUACUGUUCCCAUCGAGAUGCAAAGGACACAGAGCUCACGGGUGCUCCAGCAAUGCUGGUGUCAUGUUUGGAGGUAGCUGUCUAUGGACUACAGUAUUCUCCCAGUGCUAGUCUGCAGUCACUGCAAAGCCUCCCAAUAGAACAUUUCUUCCUGAGCCAACCUAUCAGUGCAGCUCUGGAAGCAAAUGACCUCUCCUGGCAGAGCCUUCACUGUGUGGGGAACAUCAGAUUUGUGUAAAGAAGAUCACCUGUCUCUUCUCAGGUGUGCACUGUAGAGAAGCUGCUGCGAAGGCCACAGGUCACUCAGGAAAAUUUGGGGCAGUUUUCUAGGUUCAAGGGAGACUGGACAUCAAAGCUGCACUGGGACAUAUGGACGCCUUGAUCCACUUUGGCCAUUCCACCUCAGCUCAGAAUUACUCACUGGUGUCAGGAUGUUUCUUGGCUUCAAACCAUUUGGAUAAGUGAUGGCAGCAAGCUUCGCCACUGUAAAGUCACCUCUUUGUAAGAAGACAGGAGCUCUUUGUAAAGAAUAUGAGACCUGAGGCUGGGGGAUGGCUGAGAAGGGAAAAGCACCUCUGCACAAGCGUGAGAAAAGGAGUUUGUUCUUCCACAUCCAUGUAGAAAUCUUGAUGCCGUGCCGUGAACCCCAGCUCUCCUACGGGAAGAUGGGAGGCGUAGACAGGAGUUCAUCUGGAAGCUUGAGGCCAGCCACCCAGAUCCUCAGAGCUGCAGACAAAAGAGAGGCCCUGCAGCAAAAGAGUGGAAGGUGAGAACCAACUCCGGAAAGUUGCCCUCUGACCUUUACAAGUGUAUACAUCCACACACAUACAAUAAAAUCAAUUGCUCAAUCACGUACA
rnacentral:lncRNA from 1 species